GGCUCCGGGGCUGUGCCCAGCGCGAGCGUGGCCGGCACCCACUUGCUGCAGAGCCGGCACUGCACUGGGGUUCUUGGGGGCGGCUCCUCCAGACGUCUCUGCGGGUUGUCGGGUGCUGCCGAGUUGGGUUGGGGGACGCUACAGGUAGUGGGUCCGGAGCAGCGGCUGGCCCCUCAUCUCACUGCCCUUCCUCGGACCCCACCGUCCUCUGGAAGCUUGUGCAGGGCACCUGCCACUGUGACCACCUGGACGCAGAUACCUGCUUUCCCACAACAGCAAGGAAGAACCAUGGCCCAGCAGAUAUUAUGCCAAAGCAGCCGUCUGUGAUUCUGGUUGUUUGGGGAUGCCGAACACUCAGGUCUACAGAGACAGCCUUGUGUGGUGCCAAGUGACCUGGAUGUAACACUGCAUUAUCUAGAGGAACGAAUGAAUGAACUGCGUGUUCUUGAAACAGCCUGCCAUGUGUACCGCCACACCACCCUGAACGUGCCUGAUCUUGUCUGAAAUUGCUUGCCAUAAUGGGUUUUAUUUUUUUAAUUAAAAAAUUUUUUUGAGAUGGAGUCUUGCUCUGUCGCCCAGGCUGGAGUGCAGUGGCACUAUCUUGGUUCACUGCAAUCUCUGCCUCCCGGGUUCAAGUGAUUCUCCUGCCUCAGCCUCCGGAGUAGCUGGGAAUAUAGGCAUGUGCCACCAUGCCCGACUAAUUUUUGUAUUUUUAGAGAUGGAGUUUCAUCAUAUUAGCCAAGCUGGUCUCGAACUCCUGACCUCAGGUGAUCCGCCCACUUGGCUGUUAGCUCUCUUUGCAUGUGAGUGACAUCAGUGUUUUCCAUCAGCCUGGAAGCAUUCUCCUCCUCCUGCUCUGAACCCCGGGUUCUAGGAAUGUGGGUCACUGUCAUUCGGGGACGUGGCUGUGGGCUUCACCCGGAAAGAGUGGCAGCAGCUGGACCUGGAGCAGAGGACCCUGUACCAGGAUGUGAUGCUGGAGAACUACAGCCACCUGCUCUCUGUGGGCUGAACUGUCUGCUUGCUUGGAAGGCCCAGCUGGCUCAGCACAAAUCCUUUAACCGUUUCUCCCCAAGAGGGUGUCAAGUCAGCAAACCAGCUGUGAUCUCCAGUUUGGAGCAGGGGAAGGAGCCAUGGAUGGAGGAGGAAGAGAUAAGGACGUGGAGCUUCCCAGAAAGCUGACUUCAUGAGACCGAGGAUCUCGUUCGUUGAUCGAUGCUACAUAUUCAGCAUGUUAGAUAAUGAGGUUGGUGAGAUUGAUGAAAUCCCGCCCACCAGGGCCGACCCACAAAGAGCCACUUUAUGAAGAACAUGCUCCUGAACUCCACUCCACAACCAGCUUUUGAAAAGAAAAAUCUGAAAAAAUUUGACCUCAGUUAAACUGGUCCAAAUGCCUGAGCAUAACCAAAAUCUUUCCUCAUUCACUCUUCACGUGGACCGUGUUUAAUUUGGUUGCUGGUGAUCAUAUUUGUUUUAGUAAAGGCUGUCACUCUAUCUUGGG
rnacentral:lncRNA from 1 species